GAUAUUUAUUUCCCAGAAUUGUGCCAAACACUGCUUCCCUCCCAGGUCCGUGAGAGAGGUGGAGGACAGAAGUUCUGGACCAUUGUGACAGGGUAAGCAUGUCGUUAGUGCACUCUAUCUGACCAAACACAAGUUGUGUGUGAAACACAUCACUAUGGCUCCCAGGAGGAAGAUAUAGAUGGAUUCUCUGGGUUGGGGGGAGAGGGUGUUUCUAGACUUGCAGGUACUAUCUUGAGGAUGUGUGGGUGUGAGUGACAAAAUAAAGGAGAUCAUGUUCACUAUUAACCCUCAGCUGAAUGUCUAAUGUUAACCCUUGGAAAACAACAGAAAGACAGGUAGGCAAAGAGAGAAAAGAUUGUAUGCCUUAGCUAGUUAGAACACAGAGGUCUCUUACCUUCUAUUGAAAAAGAGGUGUUUUACCAGGUUAAAGAAACUGAAUUACCCACUUCUCUUUCCUUUUUCUUUAAUGCCAAUCUUAAAAAUGUUUUUCCAAUUUUAGAUAUUUAUGAGUUGGUUCUCCAUACCAAGGCUCACAAAGGGCAUUUAAGGGCUGAAAUUGUCACUACCACCAGAUGCCUGAGGCUCCUGGUUGAAUAAAAAAUGGCAAUGCAGAGAGGAGGCGGAAAAGCACUCUCCAUAAAAACACUGGGUUGCUACCCAUGCUCAGCACAAACCACUGAUAAGAAAGCAGAGUCAUUCCUAAAGGGAACUAAAUGCAAACUUGCUGGGUACCAUAGAUCCCCUGCAGAGAUAACGGUCAACAAUCCUCCCACGCCUGUGUGCACACACUGCUCCUCCCACCCAGAGGUGGCAUCUAGCUCCCCCUGCCUUGAAUCUGGCUGGACUUGUGACUUGCUUUGGCCAACAGAAUGUGACAGAAAUGAUACUUUGCUCCAGGCCUAAGCCUUAACAGCCCUUGCUGCUUCUGUGUUUGCCCUCUUGGAACUUGGGGCUGGACUCCUGAAUGAUGGGACAGCACCUGGAAAGAGGGGGGUCUUGUGGCAGAGGAUCAAGGCAUUCUGGUCAACACCUAGUACCAAAGUCCCAGCUGUGUGGAGUGAGGCCACCUUGGACCCUCCAGUCCCAGUCAAACCAACCCAGCUGAUACCACAAGGGGCACACAUAAGCCCUUCUCAAAUUUCUGACUCACAGAAUUGAGAGUAAUAAAAUAAUUGCUAUUUUAAGUCACUAGGUUUGGAGAUGAUUUGCUAUAUAGCAAUAGAAAAUUAAAACAUCUCAUGGCUCUCUUCGUCUCUCCGUCAAUGGAGUGGCUCCAAUGGCUAGAUGCCUAGGUUUCCACACCUUCUUUUCAGUGCUAUGUUCCAUUUAUUCCUAGAGCCCUCCUAAUGAUUAUUCCGAAGCACAAAGUAAAUACCUUAUAUAAGAUGUUAACAACAUGAGAGAAUACUGUGCUAGUCGCUAUGGGGGGUAUAUACUUUAGCCCUGUAGUAGGGCUUGUUUCAAGCAAACUUGUUUCACAUGAAAAGGUGCUGCUGGAAAGCAUUUCUUCAAAUAGGGUUUCAGGAUUUUGUCUAACUUUUGACACUAAGACUAGACAGAAGAAGAGUCACCCCUAGACAUUGUGUGUUUGUGUGUGUGUGUGUGUGUUUCUAUUACAGAAAAUUAAAGCCAAGUCUAAGGAAAUGGUUGGUAAGUAUUAACUAAGACCUUAAAUACUAUGAAGUUUUAUGUUCUAAAACAUUUUAUUUAUUUAUUUUAGAUGCAGGAUCUCACUGUCACCCAGGUUGGAGUGCAGUGGUGCAAUCAUAGCUCACUGUAACCUUGAACUCCUGGGCUCAAGUGAUCCUCCCACCUCAGCCUCCCAUAGCUAGGGCUUUAGGCAUGUGCCACCAUAUCCAGCUGAUUUUUCAUUUUUAUUUUUUGUAGAGAUGGGGGUCUUGCUAUUUUGCCCAGGCUGGUUUCAAACUCUUGGCUUCAAAUGAUCCUCCCACCUUAGCCUCCCAAAACACUGGGAUUACGGGUGUGAACCACUGUGCCUGGCCAACAUUGUGGAUUUUAAAGAGUAAGUCUCCGACAACAUCCUUCUGAGGACAUAAAAUUGCUCUGGAUUUGAUGGUUAAAGUUAAGUUCUAUUGGCAGGGAGUUUAUACAAAGUGUUAUCUCCAGAAAGCCAGAGGCCAGAGCACAGCCACGGAUGCUUAGAAUUGCUGUGAGUUGAACACCACAGACUUCCAAAAAAGACUGAGGGAGCAUCUCCUUACUUCAUACCAGGCUAGGCCUGAAGCUACAGUGAAAAAGGAGUCAAGAUGGCUUAUUCCAAUUGCUCUCACAAAGACGACAAACCCUAUGAAUAUGAAGGAUGACCUUCCCAGAGUAAUGUACAUGUUCUGUUCUCAGAAGUCAAAUACCAUGACUUUGGCAAUAUUCUAUUGAUCACAUAGGCUAGCUCUAUUCAGAGGUGGAGGGGGCUACACAAGGGAAUGAACACUGGUGGACAGGAUCACUGGGAGCCAUUUUGGAGGCUGGCUGUCACAUUCACCCAAAACCAAUGUACUAGUGCCUACUGAGGAACAAAACACAACGUCCCUGCUUUCCUGAAGCACACAUGCUUGAAGAGGUCAGAAAGCCAAUGGAUCUAAUCACCCUUUUCUGUCUAUAAAGCCAACCUCCUCUGCUCAGCUCCUGGAAUAUUCAUUCUAUUUUACAGAAUGAGGUGUUGCCCAAUUCUAGAAUCGCAAAUAAAAGUCAAUUAACAUCUUUAAA